rnacentral:rRNA from 1 species
AUUGAACGCUGGCGGCAGGCCUAACACAUGCAAGUCGAGCGGAGCGGCGGACGGGUGAGUAAUGCCUAGGAAUCUGCCUGGUAGUGGGGGAUAACGUCCGGAAACGGGCGCUAAUACCGCAUACUAUCAGAUGAGCCUAGGUCGGAUUAGCUAGUUGGUGGGGUAAAGGCCUACCAGGGCGACGAUCCGUAACUGGUCUGAGAGGAUGAUCAGUCACACUGGAACUGAGACACGUCCCAGACUCCUACGGGAGGCAGAAGUGGGGAAUAUUGGACAAUGGGCGAAAGCCGGAUCCAGCCAGGCCGCGUGUGGGAAGAAGGUUUUCGGUUGGUAAAGAACUUUAAGUUGGGAGGCGUUACCAACAGAAUAAGCACCGGCUAACUUCGUGCCAGCAGCCGCGGUAAUAC